rnacentral:snoRNA from 1 species
AACAGCUGACCUCCUCAACAGAUAGUAAACGCACACAUCUGUGUUCUCUACAAGAGCCACAGACUCCAACCUGGCUGAUGAGUCGAUCCAGUCCGCCCUAGAGUGAUGCCGUGUGCAGCACGCCUGGUCCUUUGCGGCCCCGUGCAGGCGAUGAUCUCGCCCCAGUCGAGUGUCUGGCUUCGGUCGGCUCUUCUGGGUGGGUGGUUCUGGACGUCUGACAGGU